AAAGCACCAGUUCCACUGGCAGGAAAACAGCCUCAGAGGAUGAUGCUGCCACCACCAUGCAUGAGGGUGUCCUGUUGGUGAAAGAGGUACUGUUAAAUGAAGCCCUAAAAAAUGGCUGCUCCUCAGACCGGUGGAUUGGAAGGAUGGACCAAUUCCUUAACCACCACGUUCACCAGAUCUCACUCCCUUGGACUUCUCUCAAGCUGCACAGUGGAGUACUGGUCAGCACUUUCGCCUUGCAGCAAGAAGAUCCCCGGUUCAAAUCCCGGCCUGGGAUCUUUUUGCAUGGAGUUUGCAUGUUCUCCCUGUCCAGAAAUAUGCUGAGGUUAAUUGGUUACUCUAAGUUGCCCGUAGGUGUGAGUGUGAUUGUCUGUCUGUAUAUGUAGCCCUGCGACAGACUGGCGACCUGUCCAGGGUGUCCCCUGCCUUCGCCCGAGUCAGCUGAGAUAGACUCCAGCACCCCCUGCGACCCUAGUGAGGAUAAUGGAUGGACUUCUCUCUAUGGGGUUAUGUUAAAGAUAUCAUGUAUCAAACAAAGAUACGGGACAUUACUGACUUGAAGCAAGAGAUUUCUGAUGCCACUGCCACCACUGAUGAGGCUGUGCUACAGCAAACAUGGCAGGAAAUCGAGUACCGUCUUGAUGUGCUUUGUGCAACUAAUGGUGCCCAUAUAGAGGUGUAUUAAAUGAGGUAGAAAAAACUCUGACAAUCACUGAUUACACCAAAACAAAUCUGGGUAAGAUAUCUUAUAACUGCCUUUGUAAUAAAUUCUUAAAACUUUAAAGAGGCUUUAUGGACACCUUGUAUUUUUCUCUUUUGUUGCUGCUAUGACAAAUAUUAAAUAAAAUGUCGGAGUGAUAGAAAGACAAUAAAUAAACAGAAAACACAGUUUAAGAAAGCAGGUUAAACAAAGUCUAACUUUGUCUGACUUAAUGACUUUUUCAUUCCAGAAAAGCUGAUCACAUGUAGUUCAUUUUAGUAUGUUCACUCCUAGAUAUUUGUUUUAUUUUCAAGUCAUUAUCAAAUGGGCUCCAGUACUGAAAUUUGCCAUGACAACGGGUAACUUAAGAGCAAAGCCUCCUUUAUAAUGCAACAAUGUUACAAAUAUGAAUGCAUAUCAUUGCUGACCUUGAUAUUUAGUUUAAAAACAGAAGUGGAAAGAAGGAGUCAAUAAGUUGUUCUCAUAUUUACUGUUUACCCAACUUCUAAAAAGCUGGAAUUAGUUGGCUGCAGAUGACAUUCAGUUUCUACGUUUUCAUUUUUUUUUUUUAAUCUGUAAUCUGACAGUGAUUAAAUGCAGCUGACAGAAGAGGAAAAAAUGGAUCAAACAGGUUGUUGUGUCACCCAGUAAUAAUAAUUUUGGUCAUUUUCAGCUGAAAAAAAGGUCUCUGGGUUCAAACUGCAAGUAGAUUUGUUGUUGUCUAUUUCAAAUUCUGGCUUAAUAGCAUUUAAUGACUAUAUUUGUAUUCAGCCUAGGCAUUUUUAAACUACAUCCAGUCCAGUUUCAGAAUGUUAAAGGUGCUUCAGCUGCACCACAGUCACCCUGGGCCGGCGGUGGAUGACUUUGUGGCUCGGUCUCAUGAGUCUUUUUUCCCAUCAAAAUGUGUCAAAAACUAAAGACAUGAUCAUCGAUUUCAAAAGUAACCACCUAACCUGCUGCCAAAAAGGUGUUGACACUGAACAAUUGUAUAUAUAUGGCUACUGUUCUUGAUAACAAACUGCGUAUCCAAUGUCGGUGCGACCCUUAAAGAGGUCGGGCAAAAACUUUUUUCCAGAGGAAAAUUAAGUUUUUAAUGUUUUUGUCAAUACGACGGUUGUCCUUAACACAAGUGUCAUUCAGUUUGUUUUAACCUUUUGUAUGAGUGCCUGGCUUGGAAACUUAAAUUGUCAAAUAAGAGCAUAUUUGGAAAUUUUGUUAGAAUGGUCAGUAACGUCUGUGAAAGGUGUCUGGAGAAGCUCUUGGUCAUUUGUAACAGGAAGAUUCUGACAAUCCACUCUAUAGGGAGCUUAAUCAUACCAUAUGGUGAAAAUGUCAUUUUAUUGUGCUCUGUAUAAUUCCACAACUAGUAGGUAUAAAAUGUACAAUGUGAGAAUAUUAUUAUUGCCAUUUCUUCAACCCACCAUCAACAAAAUUACCACCCAGCUUUACAAACUGCUCAGUGUUUCUAGGUGAGUCAUUUAGAAAGAGCAGCUGCCCCACAGUUCUCCAGGUUUAUGUACUUUCUAGAGUCGCUUCUACUAACUCUAAAAGGACUUGGUGACAAGCAAAACACUGAAUGUUCUGCUGUUGGCUGCAAGAGCAAACACAAGAGUCUUCAUGCACUCCCAGCAUUGGAGGAACUAAAGAGCCAUGGGAGUACUUUUAUAUUUAAUAGCAUGUCCACACAACUAUGGGAAAGGUUCUUAGUCUUACUGCAUUGUGCAACUAAUGUGGCUAGUGUUACCAUUAGCUUUAAUCGAAUGCCCACAAGUCAGAACUCUGUUCUUAUGCUGAAGGACAAACAGAAAUGUUAGAAACUAUAAGACCAGCAGUAAGCACAAACUGGCAGAGUUGCUGUGUUUUCAUAUUGACUGAUGUUUACUUCUCUCCUGCUCUCUAUGCACAUAUCUACCACAGUUCAUCGUCCAUCCGUUAUCUACACACUGCUUAAUCCUCAUUAAGCCCCUUAGUCUAUCCCAGCGGACUUAGGACGAAGGUAGGGGACACCCUGGACAGGUCACCAGUCUAUCACAGGGCUACAUAUACAGACAAACACUCACCUUCACACCUACUGACAAUUUAGAAUUACCAGUAAACUUCAGCAUGUUUUUGGACUAAGGAAGCUGGAGUACUUGGAGAAAACUCACGCGUCCAUGCAGAAAGAUCCUGAGAAGGCCAGGACGUGAACCAGGGAUCUUCUAGCUGCUCACCACCAAGCCACUGUGCAGGCCUACCACACUUCAGUACUGCGAAAAUAGCGAGUUUAUUGCCGUAAUGUUGAGGAUUUGUGUGACAAAUUUAUCAUUGAGUUAAAAACGACUGUGCUAUGAAUUUGGUAACAUUUUCAGGUCAAAUAAUCACUCAGAAAGACAGUGACAACUAAAAAAAAGUCCUGGGUUUUACUCAUUUUCUUGUCAACUGCUGUGGUCUGUAAUGCCAAUCACAGACACAGAGAGAGUCUUUUUCCUGAAGGGGGCGUGGUCAGUUGGAUUUUAAGCUAGAGACUGAAACAGCCUGUUUAGUAUGGUGGUAAAACCAGAACUGAUAAAUGAACCAACUUGACAGUAUUUUGAGAUGAAACAUUCUGGAGCCAUGUGAGACUUUUAUUUGCUGGAAAUGGACACAAUACACGACCUUUAAGCUGUUGCCCUCUGACCGUCAUUUCAAGACAACUGAUUUGAGGACUAAAAGACUCCAAGUCUCUUUUAUCCCUACUGCUAUUGAGUUGCUCAAUGGAUAUUAGCACUGUGGCUGCAUCUUUGCUCUACCUUGUCACAUCUGUAUUUGUUCUACAUUAGUUGUUAUUUAUUGUUGUCCCUUUGUAUUACUUUAUGCAAAACAAAUAUCUCUGGUGGGACAAUAAAGAUAGUCUUGAAACUUGAAUUCCACUCAGAAAUAUUUACCUAUUCUCCAACAUGAUUCCAUGUUUUAAUCAGUGUCUUAUUUGCUUCAUACAGAUAGUGUUACUGUAAAUGUUUUAGCUGACAACCUGACAGCUGCCUUCAUGUCUACAGAGUCACAGUGUUAUCAAGGACAAUCUAUAGAUUUCAUUCUGAGCAGAGGAUGGUUCUACGACUUGGAAAGAUUGCUGUCUCCAUCCUCACAAAGGCAACUGAUAAGUUACAAUCUAAUAUCUAUUUAGGUGUUCCUAAAGACAGCAAUGUCUGCAAAUGAAGUCCUUCUGAUACAUACUUUGAUAUCGACUCUGUGAAUGAAGGAAUGAAACGGAGUGCCAUACAGCUCCUUAACGCUCAGCAGGAGGCGGGGGGUCAGAGAAAAAGUUUGUUGGAGAAAACCUGCCAGCAGAUUAGUUUUGCAGUCAGUUGCCAUGGUAACGUAUAAAGUUACCUCUCUCGCUCUUUCUCCAAAACAUUAAAACCCAGAGUUUUCAUUAAACUCACUCAGCGUUUCAAGAACAUUGAGCUUUAGUUGUUCAUCAGUUGUGACUUCAUGUGAUUCUGACCUGAGGAGUCGGCUGUAAUGGUGUGAUGACUGUGUGUUAAAUAAAAAAUUACAAUAUUAA